CCCAGCCCCGCGGCUCCGGCCCCGGCGGCGGCCCCGGGCCUCCCUGCCGCCUUGGUAGCGCCGGUCCGCACUCGGCCUGACCCGGGACGUCACACCGCCUGUCUGUUUUCUCAAUGAUAACUUGGCAGCGGCAGGGGGAAGCGGCCGGGUUAUGUAUUUUUUUUUUUUUUUCCCUGGGCUCGGUACCGGGUUGACGCUGGGUGCCGAGCGAGCCGCGCUGGUCACCGCCGGGUCCCACCUGGAGAAGGAAAGCACACACAAAAAGGGGGAAAAAAAAAAAAAAAAAAAG